rnacentral:rRNA from 1 species
AUUGAACGCUGGCGGCAGGCUUAACACAUGCAAGUCGAACGAGUGGCGGACGGGUGAGUAAUGUCUGGGAAACUGCCUGAUGGAGGGGGAUAACUACUGGAAACGGUAGCUAAUACCGCAUACCCUCAGAAGUGCCCAGAUGGGAUUAGCUUGUUGGUGGGGUAACGGCUCACCAAGGCGACUACUCCUAGCUGGUCUGAGAGGAUGACGAGCCACACUGGAACGGAGACACGGCCCAGACGCCUAGGGGAGGCAGCAGUGGGUAAUAUUGCACAAUGGGCGCAAGCCUGAUGCAGCCAUGCGGCGGGUAUGAAGAAGGCCUUCGGGUUGUAAAGUACUUUCAGCGGGGAGGCGUUACCCGCAGAAGAAGCACCGGCUAACUCCGUGCCAGCAGCCGCGGUAAUUC